AGAGCGAACGCUGGCGGAAUGCUUAACACAUGCAAGUCGCACGGGCAGCAAUGUCAGUGGCGGACGGGUGAGUAUCGCGUAGGAAUAUGUCCGGAGGUGGGGGACAACCCUGGGAAACUGGGGCUAAUACCGCAUAUGAGCUGAGGCUCAAAGCAGUGAUGCGCCUUUGGAGUAGCCUGCGUCCGAUUAGCUUGUUGGUGGGGUAAAGCCUACCAAGGCGACGAUCGGUAGCUGGUCUGAGAGGACGACCAGCCACACUGGGACUGAGACACGGCCCAGACUCCUACGGGAGGCAGCAGUGGGGAAUAUUGGACAAUGGGCGCAAGCCUGAUCCAGCAAUUCCGCGUGGGUGAAGAAGGUCUUCGGGAUUGUAAAGCCCUUUCGACGGGACGAUGAUGACGGUACCCGUAGAAGAAGCCCGGCUAACUUCGUGCCAGCAGCCGC
rnacentral:rRNA from 1 species